CUCCUCCUUAAAAAAAAAAAUCAUAUUUCAUAGUUACAUAAGUUCCCCUCCCACUGCCCAGUCCUCUCCUGUAACAGCAGGACCGUUGUCAUAGCAACUCCAACCCCUCCUUCUAACGUCAUUGCCAAGAGCGGGGACGAGAAUCCUGCAUGCAGCUGCUGCUCCUCUCGCCUCCCGGAGCCCCACGAUUCACCUGUGAUCCUGUUCCCGCAGAGCCCGUCGCAGGAUCCCCUUGAUUGAACCCCUAAACCGUCCAUUCAUCGUUUUUUUAAAACAAUCAAACGACCCCAAUUUUCAUCGCCGCACGACUCAUCUGGCUGCACCUACAGCCAGUAUGUCUUGGUUGUUCUUGGACUGGUUUGUCCCCGUCUACCUGCUGGUGUCGGUGCUGGUGCUGGCAGGCUUUGGCGCCUGCCUCUACUGCCUAGAGCCUGGACUGCAAGAUGCCCACAAGUGGAGCAACAAGAAGGUCCGGCACCAUCCACUGGUGGCCAGCGUGAACUGCACAGACGAGGACACGAAUGCCCUGAUAUGACCGGGGAGAGGAGGAGGCGUGGAGGAAAGCCAUCUGUACUACAGAAGUGCUGCAAGGACACUUGCAGAGUGCGAGCCAGCACUUUAACGAGAGGGACAGAAUCAAAGACUGUGUACACGAAACGUAUCACGCCAAAUUACACCCUUUCUUUCACCUCGAGUUUAUAGACCUUUGAUCGUUGAGAUAAUGAAAAAGGGGCCAAUGGCCUUUAAGGAAAGGCAAAUUAACCAACGGCCAAGGGAGGAGGAUUUGUGAUACAAAUAUACAUUAUGUAAAUUGUUAUAUUUGUGCCAAAUUUUGCAUUCAUUUUGUAACUUGACAAUCCCUUAAUAAAACCAUCUCAUGCUGGCGAUGAGACAGGGAAAGGACUUUGUGGACAAUGAUAAGAGGAAGCCUCAGGUUGUAUUGUUACUGUUGCAAUAAGAGUUUAAUUUAUCUAUAAUAGGGUUCAAUACAAAACAUCAUUGUUUAUCAACAAUAUUAUUUCAAUGCAAAACCUUGUUUAUCAAUAAUAGAGAUUCAAUACAUAAGAUUGUUUAUCAACAAUAGUGGUUCAAUACAAAACAUGAUCAUUUAUCAAUAAUAGUGUUUUAAUACCAAACAUAAAUGAUCAAUAAUAGUGUGAUAAGAGUGCCAAAAUUAAAAUAAAAAAGAAUGUAAAAGUAUUUUCAAACCUGGAGCAAUACAAUUUCAGACAAAAACACAUGUUACAAUUCCCUCCUGCAGCCCACUACACCCAGACGUUUCCCAUGUUCAUUUGAAAAUAAAGUGCAAACACAAC